UACAGAGACCUCGAGCGUUAGGCGGAAUCACUGGGCUUAAAGCGUGUGUAGGCGGACUUCUAAGUACCUUGUGAAAUCCCACGGCUUACCCGUGGAACGGCUGGGUAUACUGGGAGUCUUGAGCCACCUAGGGGCGAGUGGAACAAAUGGUGGAGCGGUGAAAUGCGUAGAUAUCAUUUGGAACGCCAAUGGUGAAAACAACUCGCUGGGGGUGUGCUGACGCUGAGACACGAAAGCCAGGGGAGCGAACGGG
rnacentral:rRNA from 1 species